CAAGACGUCGCGCCAUCUUCGACUCUUCUGGAGCGGGUGUCGCAUGUCGCUCCCGUACCCCGCUCUGGUGCUUUGCUCGCCUAAACAGCAUUUCCCACUCCCUUUUUGAUCCCAAAUGCUUCCAAGUACCUCUAAGAACUCCAAUGGAAACUCCAAAACCUGAUAAAGACUUAUGCAAUGCAAAAGGAGACUAAAACGCGUGAUUCCUAAUCUAGAUGAUCAAAACAUGCAAGAAAUAGAAGGUUAAAACAAUGUAAUUAUGCAAGAUAUCAACUCCCCCAAACUUGUUCUUUACUUGUCCUCAAGUGGCUUUGUAAGAAUUUAUAAGGGAGAAAGGUUUGAAGGUGGGAACUCAUAGCCAAAAGUAACACUUCCUAGCACUCAACUUAACAUCCUAAAGAAACAUAGCAAAUAGCAUGAGCAUCUUCCUUAUUAUACUCUAGCUUCUCUAGGCCUAUCCAUACUCUUUUUCCUCUACUCAAGUUGCAAUACUCUUUACCAACAAGUCCCUUCAAUCAGCUCUCACAUUGAUUCACACACACACACACUAGGUGAAGUCUCACAAAUGGGCACAUGAUCUCAAUCAUUUGGCUAGGUAAGCAAUAGUCUAAUAUGAAUGAAGAGAUGGGUUCAAAUGUUUUCAUUUAAGGGUGGUUAUCACUCAAAACAAGGAGUUUGAUCAUUAUGCAAAAUUUAUCUAAGAUUAGAAGCAACUCAUGCAUACAUAGAUUCAUUCUCAUCAUUCUACCCCUUUUGUUAUAAGUGAUCACAAGUCCUACCCCUCUUUAUCAUUAUCUCAAAAUCAAUCUAAACCCCUCACAUCACUCAUCCAAUGUACAACUCUCUUUUUCAUUUGACCCACUCACUAGGGAUUUUAAUCCACUUUCCACAAGCUCUAACUCUCUUUUUUUUUUUUUCAUUUCCUUCCCCAACUUCUUUUUGAUAUUUUUUUUUUUAUUAGGGGGAAGGUUCUUUGUUACAUAAUCAAGAGCUUCUUAUUAUUAUCUUUUUUUUUAUAUAUAUCCCUAGGAGUUCUCUUUUCAUAUCUCUGAUCUUUCUCACUCUCCAAACCCAAGAUAUUGAAAUUUAAAACACACAAACCCCUCUCACCAUCCCCAAAUGCUAACUCAUUGUGCUAGCAAGAGAUGAGAAUAAACCUAUGUCGCCUCCAAUACUCUCAAGAUUUUGCACAUGACAAGCUAUCAAAAGAAGCCUCACUCAUGCAAUUCAAUGUUUGGUCUCAAGGAAUGGUUAGGGUUUUAAGGUAAGGAGUGCCAUUUGGGUUAACAAAGAUAGGUAUGAAGGAAUAAGAUAACCCAAAUGUGUAUGAGAUCCAUGAUCAAGUAUGCAAAUGCCCAUAUGCAAGAGAGAUUAAGUUCAUUCAAGCCAAGUUUAGAUUGGAGCUGAUCUUAAGAACAAUGCUAACAUCAAGCAAGCAAACAAGUUUCAAGAAGAGUUUUCAAGGCUCAAAGCGUGCAAGGUUUUCAAGAGAUGCUUAAGCUACUUGAUAUGUUUAACUAGGGUGUCAUUUUGAGUUCUAGACAAGGGUUCUUUGCAAGGCAUUUUAAAUCAUUGUUUCCAAUGCAAGUGAAUACAACCUAUAUGCUCUAGAGUCAAUCUUAAAAGUGCAAGUGAUGCAACUACAUGUUUCUUUUUGUGUUUUUCAAAUUUUUAAUUUUUUUGGUUUUUCUAUGCAUAUAUAUAUGUACAAAGCAAUGCAUGAGACUCAAAUCAUCAAAGAAAACAUAUUAAAUACUUGAUGCCUCCCCCAAACUUAGUUCACACAGUCUCUGUGUUAGGAAGUUGGAGGAGAUACCGAAAACAAUUGCAAAGAAAAACUGGUAUAUACAAUGGAAAGGUAGUGGAGUACCUGUCUAAGCGUUCGGGAAGAAACCCGAGUCCCCAUAUCCGGAGUCAUCGGGGAAGGUAGUGUAGUAUUCCUGGGGCUCGCUGGCAACUUCCUCGUUGUCGGUUUCAGCAUCGGUUGAGGCAAGGGAAGGAGACUUAUUCCCGGAGUUAGAUUUAUGAGCUUGUGGGUUUCGUGCCAGACGCAAGAGCUGGCGGGCAGUAACGGGAGGUCCAAGGUCCAAAGAAGGGUUGGCGACAGGGUCAUAGGGCUGGGGUUCAGGAACUGAGGUAUCUCUAGUGACAAAGUCUUCA
rnacentral:lncRNA from 1 species